rnacentral:snoRNA from 1 species
UAUAUAAGAUACUGCUAUUACCUGAGAAAUACUUGGUGAAAUCUCAAGAAAAUUCCUCUACUCAAGUUCUGAUCCAG